UACAGAGGUCUCAAGCGUUUGUUCGGAUUCAUUGGGCGUAAAGGGUGUGUAGGUGGCGCCGUAAGUCGGGUGUGAAAUUUCGGAGCUUAACUCCGAAACUGCAUUCGAUACUGCGGUGCUUGAGGACUGGAGAGGAGACUGGAAUUCAUGGUGUAGCAGUGAAAUGCGUAGAGAUCAUGAGGAAGACCAGUGGCGAAGGCGGGUCUCUGGGCAGUAACUGACGCUGAGAAGCGAAAGCGUGGGGAGCGAACGG
rnacentral:rRNA from 1 species